UACGGGGGGGGCAAGCGUUGUCCGGAUUUAUUGGGCGUAAAGAGCUCGUAGGCGGCUUGUCGCGUCGUCCGUGAAAACCCACAGCUCAACUGUGGGCUUGCGGUCGAUACGGGCAGGCUAGAGUUCGGUAGGGGAGACUGGAAUUCCUGGUGUAGCGGUGAAAUGCGCAGAUAUCAGGAGGAACACCGGUGGCGAAGGCGGGUCUCUGGGCCGAUACUGACGCUGAGGAGCGAAAGCGUGGGGAGCGAACAGG
rnacentral:rRNA from 1 species